CCAUUCUGUAGUAAAGCAAAAGGCCCACAGGGCUUAUCAGUCACCUGAGUGUCAGUUUAUGGUAUCACUAGCCCUAAGGGCUACAAAAGCUAUAAAAACUAAAGAUUGUUUUUAUGAAAAACAAAUGUCUCCCCAGCUCCCCAAAUUGGAAGUGCUCCAAAUGAAACCUCCCCUUUAAUGUACUGCAUGGUAUGGAGGAAAAAGCAUGCGCAGGAACAUAUACAUUAUGAACUCCUAUAAGCCACAUUGGAAAAGUGUUCACAAACUAUUUUACACCCUUCACCCCUCAGAUACACUAUAACUUUAAAGAAAACAAUUGGAUCCUCCUGUCCCUACAAUUUGCACAUCUGCAAAUGGCAUCGAAGUAUUGUACAAAAUUUCAAGUCUAUCUGAUAAGCCAUAUAGGAGAAGCGUUCACAAACUAUUUUAACAUCCUCCAUCCCUCUUAGAUCCACUAUAACUUUUAGGAAAACAAUUGGAUCCUCCCGUCCCAAAAAUAUGCACAUCUACAAAUGACAAUGAAGCAUUGUACAAAGGUUCAAGUCUAUCCGAUAACCCAUAUAGGAGAAGUGUUCACAAACUAUUUUACAUCCUCCACCCCUCUUAGAUCCACUAUAACUUUAAGGAAAAUAAUUGGAUCUUCCUGUCCCUACAAUAUGCACAUCUACAAAUGGCAAUGAAGCACUGUACAAAAUUGCAAGUUUAUCUGAUAACCCAUAUAGGAGUAGAAGUGUUCACAAACUAUUUUAUAUCCUCCACCCCUCUUAGAUCCACUAUAACCUUUAGGAAAAUAAUUGGAUCCUCCUGUCCCUAAAACAUGCACAUCUUCAAAUGACAAUGAAGCAUUGUACAAAGUUUCAAGUCUAUCCAAUAACCCAUAUAAGAGGAGAAGAGUUCACAAGAUUUUGUGACAGACAGAAGGACGGACGGACGUAAAGUACAAAAACAAUAUGUCUCCCCCAAAAGAGGGAAUAUAUAAUUUUCCUGUUCUGCAUAUCUAUUAAAGGGGCAUGGACAUGAUUUGAGCUGAAAAUUUUCAAAUUUCAUCUUUCUAUUUUUAAUGUUUAGAAUGCUUUAAUUAAGGUAUGUCUAAUGGUCAGCAAAAAUUUGAAUGUCAGUUGUUGAGGUACACAGAGAUACAGAGCUCACAAUUCUUUAUCAUGUAAACAAGGCUCGUGCCAUGUUUUUGUUUACAUAACUUGUAAAAGUUUUGUUUAAGGAAGUUAGCUCCUGAGUUUUUUAGCACAACUGCGCAGGAUGCUACAACAAAGUAUUUACUGGUUCAAUACUUAUCUCAUUGGUGCAAAUAUAUUGCACAUCUAUUACUGAACCCUAUCAAGUUGAGAAAAAUUGUGUCAAUUAAAAUUUUGAAAGGGACUAUAUUUUGUGGUGGAUGGAUUCAUUAAUAAAAAAGUUCUAAAUCUGCGUGAUAUUAUAAUUUCUGUAUCAUCUACUAUAUCUUCUAUUUUUAUACUCCUUUACGUGUAUUUCAAUUCAUAAUUUAUGAAAAAAGUAGUUGAGACUUGGAGGUAGAUCAAAUGUUGUAAUUUAUUAAUUUGGUUGAUAUAUUUUUCCAAACAGAACACCAAUUCUUAAACAAGAGACCAAUGGGCCACAUUGCUCACCUGAGUCACCUUGGGCCAUAUCUGAAGACUUUCCAUAUAUAUUUGCAUAUAAAACCUUAGUACCUAUUGUGGCCCCAACCUACCCCUGCAGGCCAUGAUUUUUACAAACUUGAAUCUGCACUAUGUCACAAAGCUUUCAUGUAAAUGUGAACUUCUUUGGCCCAAUGGUUCUUGAGAAGAAGAUUUUUAAAGAUUUUCCCUAUAUACAUGUAUUUGUAUGUAAAACUUUGAUCCCCCAUUGUGGCCCAAUCCUACCCCCGGGGGUCAUGAUUUGAACAACUUGAAUCUGCACUUUGUCAGGAAGUUUUCAUGUAAAUCUCAGCUCUUCUCGUUCAUUGGUUCUUGAGAAGAUGAUUUUUAAAAAUUUCCCCAUUAUAUUUCUAUGUAAAACUUGGAUCCCUAAUGUGGCCCCAUUCUACCCCUGGGGCCAGGAUUUGAACAAACUUGAAUCUGUACCAUGUCAGGAAGCUUUCAUGUAAAUUUCAGCUCUUCUGGUUCAGUGGUUCUUGAGAAGAAGAUUUUUAAAGAUUUUCUCUAUAUAUUUGCAUGCAAAACUUUGAUCCCCUAUUGUGGCCCCAACCUACCCUCAGAGGCCAUGAUUUGAACAAAGUUGAAUCUGCACUAUGUCAGCAAGCUUUCAUGUACAUAUGUAAAUGUAAGCUCCUCUGGCUCGGUGGUUCUUGAGAAGAAGAUUUUUAAAUGACCCCACCUUCUAUUACAAUUUUGUGAUUAUCUCACCUUUGAAGGGGGUACAAUCUAAUUAAAAUUAGAUAUUAGAUUUGCUCGCGUACUCGCAUAUAUGUUAUGUAUGCAAGUACGCGAGCGGAUCUAUCAUCAAAUUUUAAUUAGAUUGAAAGGGGCAUGACCCUUCAUUUGAACAAACUUGAAAGCCCUUCACCCAAGGAUGCUUUUGGUCGAGUUUGGUUGAAAAUGGCCCAGUGGUUCUGGAGAAGAAAUGUAAAGAGUUUACAAGCAGACAGACGACGGACAACAUGCGAUCAGAAAAGCUCACUUUCAGCUCAGGUGACAUGCUGUCUGCGGCUGGAGGAUGUGUACUCUCAACGAUCACUCGUGUGAAGACGGCCUGGAAUAAAUUCAGGGAACUACUGCCUGUCCUCUCUUCCCGUCACCUUUCCUACAAGACCCAUGGCAGGUUGUACAGUACAUAUGUGCACAGUGCGAUGCUGUAUGCAAGUGAGACAUGGCCCUUGCCAAAACCAGACCUCCUUCGCCUACGACGAAAUGACAGAGCCAUGGUCAGACAGAUUUGCAGGGUAAAGCCAGAAGACAUGGUUAGUGUCAGAUCAAGCGAGCUACUGGCACGACUUGGGAUCGAUGACCUUGACUCUAUCCUGCGGGAGAAGAGGCUAUGCUGGUUUGGGCAUGUUGCUAGAUCCAGUGGGGCAAUCAAUAAUGUCUUCAAUAUGAAAAAAGAGGGAGGACGACAACCAGGGAGACCAAAGAUGACCCGGAAAGCACAGCUAGAAUAAAGUGCACCGCCACGGCACAUGAUACGCCCGUCACAUAUUGUUAACAUGAACAUAUCACCAUGAAGAGAUAGGUAUGAAUGGAGCCAAAUGUCAACCUUCCUUUAAGAAUCUUACUCACUUUAUGGCCUCAUGUGACAUUGCUUCAAAUAUUGAUAAUGUAAGCUUAAUGAUUUUUAAAAGGAUAUAAAAAUAUUUUCCCAAAUGUUUUCAAUGAAAUGAUUAAAGUGCAAGAUAGCCCUUUAUCCAAGCAAACAACUUACAAUAAAAAUAUAGACUGGCCAUCAAGAACAAAUUUGAAAGAAUACCAAUAUAUCAACAGUUAUUAACGUAGUUCCACACUCCUGUGACGUCAUAAGAUUUUGCAAAGUCAAUAAUUUAAUGACUGGAACAUAAAUUUUGUUGGAGUCUUUUUCAGUAGUUAUUGUAAAAAAUCUUGUUAGCCAUAAAAUAUUUCAAACGUCUUAGUUAUAUUUGAAUAGUCAAUGAUGUGUUUCAAAAUGUUGAAUCCAAGGACAAUAACUCUGUUUACAUUAAAUUAUUUAUCAAGUCCAGUAUGCAAUAGAUUUCCUAUAUUUUUCACAAACAUUUUACCAAGGUGACAAGGAAUUAUUAUCUGUGUCUUUUCAUGAAAUUACAUAGAAUUUUAAUCCAUGAGUGGUUUUGAAUAGCUCAGCUGAAUGGUGCCAGACUUAGGUUUUUUAUGGGGGUAUACAUACUCUGGAAGCUAUAGAUUUGAAAUUAUUAAGGAAAGGUAUGGAUUUUUUCCCAUAAAUAAAUAUAACAUAUGUACAUCUACUAAUAAAAACAGAAAAAAUGAUAUGUAAACCAUGCUAUAAGGAAAUUAUGUCCAUAUUUGUUUGUUUUUUAACAUUUUGGAGAAUUUGGCUAAUUCAAUAAUUUUGCACUUAUUGUACUAAAACUUGAUGAACAGAUUGAAAAUGACAUGUGUUUUAGUUAUUGACAUGUUUCCUGAUAAAUAAAUGCAAUUUAAAUUA